UUGAAACCUCGAUCAAAAUGAACUAACUUGCGCACGUGUCAACCAAAUAGAGGGGAUGGAGCGUGUCGUGUGAGAGACCCCUCCGCAUCGCCUCCCCCCUCAAAUGUCAUCCUAGCAUGGUCGUGAGGCGGCUUCUCACUUUAUGUGGGAUGCUUGUCGAGCGGCGACGAUAGCUACAGCAGCAUAACCCAACCCCGGCGUAAGUCGCACCAAGGAAAAUAGAUAUGCAACCUCCGUGCUCCCCAUCGGCUUAGGCAAUGAGAGCCGGUAUUGUGUUAAUUAAUGCAUAUAAGAGAUGACUCUCGGCAACAGAUAUCUCAGCUCUUGCAUCGGUGAAGAACGUAGCGAAAUACGAUACUUGGUGUGAAUUGCAGAAUCCCGUGAACCAUCGAGUCUUUGAACGCAAGUUGCGCCCGAGGCCACUACGGCCGAGGGCACGCCUGUCUGGGCGUCGCAUGCAGCGUCACCCGACACCUUCUCCCCGCGUGGAGGUGUCGGUGGAGUAUGGCCUCCCGUGUCGUAGGUCUCGACGCGGUUGGCCCAAAUGGGAAGCUCGGGGCAACGGAUGCCGUGACAAUGGGUGGUCAGCGAGGCCGAAAGGCACGGUCACGACGUCUUGUCACCGCACGGUUUCCCGCCGCUUGUUUCGGUCCCGUCCCGCCGCCAUGGCGGGAUGCACGA
rnacentral:sRNA from 1 species